AUUAAUUUAUUAUAUAUAAUUUUAAGAGCAUUAUAUGUAAUAGAUUAUUCAUUUUAAUCAUAUUACGCGGGAAUAUGGUUAAUUAAUUUAUCACUUCUAUAUGAGUAGGAGGAUUAAAAUCCUCAUGAACAAGUAUAAUAUCGAUUUUAUCGAAUAAAGUUCUAGAUAGAAUACUGAUUAUGACUAUUUUCUGUCUAUAUGUCUUGACCAAAAUACGUGCCAGCAGUCGCGGCAAUACGUAGAAGACUAGUGUUAUUCAUCUUUAUUAGGUUUAAAGGGUACCUAGACUGUAUAAUUAGUCUAAAUCAGAUACGGUUAUACUAGAGUUAUAUAUGAGAAGGUGAGUAUUUAUGGAGUAGAGUUGAAAUUUGUUUAUACCAUGAGGACUGGUAACGGCGAAAGCAACCUUUUAUCUAAUAACUGACGUUGAGGGACGAAGGCUUGGGGAACAAAAAGGAUUAGAUACCCUAGUAGUCCAAGCAGAGAAUUAUGAAUGCCAUAGACUAGGUUUUUUUUUAGUUUAUAAAUGAAAGUGUAAGCAUUUCACCUCAAGAGUAAUGUGGCAACGCAGGAACUGAAAUCAUUAGACCGUUUCUGAAACCAGUAGUGAAGUAUGUUAUUUAAUUCGUAGGUACGCGAAAAACCUUACCACAACUUGAAUAUUAUUUUAUAUAUUAUUUAUAAUAUUCUUAUGGAAUAUUGCUAAAAUAAUAAGUAAUAUAGUAAAAUAUUACAAGCGUUGCACGGCUGUCUUCAGUUAAUGUCGUGAGAUAUUGGUUAAUUCCAUUAAAUUAACGGAAACCCUUGCUUUAUUUAUAUUUUAUACUAAUAAAUGCUGCACACCAGUAUAUCGCGCAUCAUGUUAAU
rnacentral:rRNA from 1 species